AGUGAACGCUGGCGGUAGGCCUAACACAUGCAAGUCGAACGGCAGCACAGUAAGAGCUUGCUCUUACGGGUGGCGAGUGGCGGACGGGUGAGGAAUACAUCGGAAUCUACUUUUUCGUGGGGGAUAACGUAGGGAAACUUACGCUAAUACCGCAUACGACCUACGGGUGAAAGCAGGGGAUCUUCGGACCUUGCGCGAUUGAAUGAGCCGAUGUCGGAUUAGCUAGUUGGCGGGGUAAAGGCCCACCAAGGCGACGAUCCGUAGCUGGUCUGAGAGGAUGAUCAGCCACACUGGAACUGAGACACGGUCCAGACUCCUACGGGAGGCAGCAGUGGGGAAUAUUGGACAAUGGGCGCAAGCCUGAUCCAGCCAUACCGCGUGGGUGAAGAAGGCCUUCGGGUUGUAAAGCCCUUUUGUUGGGAAAGAAAAGCAGCAGGUUAAUACCCCGCUGUUCUGGCGGUACCCAAAGAAUAAGCACCGGCAACUUCGUG
rnacentral:rRNA from 1 species